UUUUGCUAGCUAUUUGAAAAUCUGGACCAAUUUGCGGUGGCGGUGCACAUCUCUAAUGAGCAGCUUCCAAAGAGGGGAAUCCCAAAAUGUGGGAACUUCAGUACAUUAAAAGGCACAAAAAAGCGCGAGAGCAAUCAUUGAGUUACGCAUCACUGCAGUGUAUGAAUUCGUUCCAAUCAACUAGAAUGAAAAUAAUUAUUUCAUUACUUUGUGUUAUCUGUUUCAUGCUUGUAACGAAUUUAUGUUCCCCAAUUGUUGACGAGGAUGAUUCUUCCUCGUUUGGAUCACCAUGCUUACAGCCACCAAUGAAAUUUAAGAAACGUUAUUUUGUGCAUAACUACAAUCACCUAACGUUCUUGGAAGCCUGGAGGCAGUGCCAUGCCAUUGGUCAUCGCUUAGCUACUAUUACAUCUGAGGAGGAUAGCCAACUCUUACAGGAAACCAUAGUGAACUCUACAAACACGAAAGGUCCUUGGUAUAUCGGUGGCACCGAUUUGGGAAAUGAAGGACACUUUAUAUGGAUAUCUACCAACACGCCUGUUGGACACAAGACAGGAUACUUCAACUUCUCACCCGGACAACCUGACAAUGCUGGCGCAAAUGAACACUGUCUUGAGAUCGGUCGUUGGGGUGGUGUAGAAUGGAAUGAUGUACAUUGUCAUGCGAAAUCACGCUACAUUUGUGAAUCUGUCAGUCCAAUCUGGUCGUAGAAAUUUAUUACUCAAUGACAAUAAUAAAUCAUUUGUUUGUUUAUUA
rnacentral:lncRNA from 1 species